rnacentral:rRNA from 1 species
GGCAGGCCUAACACAUGCAAGUCGAGCGGAUGACGGGAGCUUGCUCCCGAAUUCAGCGGCGGACGGGUGAGUAAUGCCUAGGAAUCUGCCUGGUAGUGGGGGACAACGUCUCGAAAGGGACGCUAAUACCGCAUACGUCCUACGGGAGAAAGCAGGGGACCUUCGGGCCUUGCGCUAUCAGAUGAGCCUAGGUCGGAUUAGCUAGUUGGUGAGGUAAUGGCUCACCAAGGCGACGAUCCGUAACUGGUCUGAGAGGAUGAUCAGUCACACUGGAACUGAGACACGGUCCAGACUCCUACGGGAGGCAGCAGUGGGGAAUAUUGGACAAUGGGCGAAAGCCUGAUCCAGCCAUGCCGCGUGUGUGAAGAAGGUCUUCGGAUUGUAAAGCACUUUAAGUUGGGAGGAAGGGCAUUAACCUAAUACGUUAGUGUUUUGACGUUACCGACAGAAUAAGCACCGGCUAACUCUGUGCCAGCAGCCGCGGUAAUACAGAGGGUGCAAGCGUUAAUCGGAAUUACUGGGCGUAAAGCGCGCGUAGGUGGUUUGUUAAGUUGGAUGUGAAAGCCCCGGGCUCAACCUGGGAACUGCAUUCAAAACUGACAAGCUAGAGUAUGGUAGAGGGUGGUGGAAUUUCCUGUGUAGCGGUGAAAUGCGUAGAUAUAGGAAGGAACACCAGUGGCGAAGGCGACCACCUGGACU